GUAGGGCGCAAGCGUUAUCCGGAAUUAUUGGGCGUAAAGAGCUCGUAGGCGGUUUGUCGCGUCUGCCGUGAAAGUCCGGGGCUCAACUCCGGAUCUGCGGUGGGUACGGGCAGACUAGAGUGAUGUAGGGGAGACUGGAAUUCCUGGUGUAGCGGUGAAAUGCGCAGAUAUCAGGAGGAACACCGAUGGCGAAGGCAGGUCUCUGGGCAUUAACUGACGCUGAGGAGCGAAAGCAUGGGGGGAGCGAACAGGAUUAGAUACCCUGGUAGUCCAUGCCCGUAAACGUUGGGCACUAGGUGUGGGGGACAUUCCCACGUUUUCCGUACCGUAGCUAACGCAUUAAGUGCCCCCGCCUGGGGAGUACGGCCGCAAGGCUA
rnacentral:rRNA from 1 species